UGAGGAAUAUUGGACAAUGGGCGCAAGCCUGAUCCAGCCAUGCCGCGUGCAGGAUGACGGUCCUAUGGAUUGUAAACUGCUUUUUGUACAGGAAGAAACAGUUCUACGUGUAGAACCUUGACGGUACUGUAAGAAUAAGGAUCGGCUAACUCCGUGCCAGCAGCCGCGGUAAUACGGAGGAUCCAAGCGUUAUCCGGAAUCAUUGGGUUUAAAGGGUCCGUAGGCGGUUAGAUAAGUCAGUGGUGAAAGCCCAUCGCUCAACGGUGGAACGGCCAUUGAUACUGUCUGACUUGAAUUAUUAGGAAGUAACUAGAAUAUGUAGUGUAGCGGUGAAAUGCUUAGAGAUUACAUGGAAUACCAAUUGCGAAGGCAGGUUACUACUAAUGGAUUGACGCUGAUGGACGAAAGCGCGGGUAGCGAACAGGAUUAGAUACCCACGUAGUCCCUGAGCGGGCUGGCAAGGCGCAU
rnacentral:rRNA from 1 species